rnacentral:rRNA from 1 species
CAGCCGCCGCGGUAAUACCCGCUCCCCGAGUGGUGGGGACUAUUACUGGGCUUAAAGCACCCGUAGCCGGCCGGAUGUGUCUCCCGUUAAAUCCACGGGCCUAACCCGUGGGCUGCGGGAGAUACUAUCCGGCUUGGGGGUGGGAGAGGGCGGCGGUAUUCCCGGGGUAGGGGUAAAAUCCACUGAUCCCGGGAGGACCACCUGUGGCGAAGGCGCUCGGCUGGAACGCGUCCGACGGUGAGGGACGAAGGCCAGGGGAGCAAACCGGAUUAGAUACCCGGGUAGUCCUGGCUGUAAACGAUGCGGACUUUGUGUCGGACAAGCUAUGAGCUUGUCCGGUGCCGGAGGGAAACCGUUAAGUCCGCCGCCUGGGGAGUACGGCCGCAAGGCUGAAACUUAAAGGAAUUGGCGGG